rnacentral:lncRNA from 1 species
CCCUAUUCAGUCUUCCAAGUGCUGGUGAUGUGAGGAAAAUGGGUGACAAUGCUCCAGUUAAAAUUUGGUUUCCAGUAGUGACUAUAAUUUCAGCUCUAAAGCUUCCAUAUGUAGCCACUUGGUUACGUUCUUGAGUUAAAUUGUCUGGGAAGAUUGAGAGAAGAGCAAUAGGGACUUGGUUCUUAAGUUACAUUGUGAGUAAGAUUAUAAAAAUUCAUGUAUUCUUUGUCAUAAAAUUGGAAAUUUGAAAAGAUACACAUUUUCAGGCACUAGGGAAAUGUCUGGAGAUCUACAAAGAUGACACCAGGUAACAAUAUAAGCAAUACAGGAGAGGCUACCUUAAAUGUCCUCCCCUGAUAAUGAGAUUGAUGACUGACUUAUAUGCCACCCAAUCGCCCUCAUCCAGCAGCUGGUCAAAGUAGAAGCAGACACCCACACCUAAUCACUGAACUGAACUGGAAUCCAGAUGCAGAGAAGGAUGAGUGAAGAGCAAAGUGGUCUAGACAAGGCUGGUGAAACCCACAGAAACAACUGACUUGAACAUCGGGAAGCUCUUGGUCCCCAAACUGUUAGCUGGGAUACCAGCAUGGGACUGAUCCAGACCCCAGAAAUAUGCAACAUGAGCAGCUGCCUUCUGCUUCUGCAAGCCCCACCAUUAUGGACAGUGUUGCCUUGACCUAGGAUCCAGAUGUAGAACUCUAAGUUACCAUGUCUACCUGUAAGCUGCCAUGCUCCCUGUCAUGAAGAUAAUGGGCUAAACCUCUGAAACCCCUUCACCCAGCAGCUGAUGGAAGUAGAAGCAGACACCCACAGCUAAACACUGAACUGAACUGGAAUGUAGUUGCAGAGAAGGAGGAAUGAUGAGCACAGGGGUCAAGACCAGGCUGGUGAAACCCACAGAAACAGCUGACCUGAACAACGGAGAGCUCUUGGCCCCCAGACUGAUAGCUGGGAAACCAGCAUGGGACUGAUCCAGACCCCAUGAAUGUGGGUGUCAGUGAGGAGGCCUGGGAAAUCUAUGGGGCCUUUUGUAGUAGAUCAGUACUUAUCCCUAGCAUAGGAAUGGACUCUGGGAGCCCAUUCCACAUAGAGGGAUACUCUCU